UCGGUGCCCAACUCGCGGCCUCCGGCGCCCGCGUCGCUGUGAUCGACACCGAUAUCCAGAGCCCCGGUGUCCACGUGCUGUUCGGCCUCGACAACACCGAC
rnacentral:tRNA from 1 species